GACGAACGCUGGCGGCGUGCUUAACACAUGCAAGUCGAACGGAAAGGCCCUGCUUUUGUGGGGUGCUCGAGUGGCGAACGGGUGAGUAACACGUGAGUAACCUGCCCUUGACUUUGGGAUAACUUCAGGAAACUGGGGCUAAUACCGGAUAGGAGCUCCUGCUGCAUGGUGGGGGUUGGAAAGUUUCGGCGGUUGGGGAUGGACUCGCGGCUUAUCAGCUUGUUGGUGGGGUAGUGGCUUACCAAGGCUUUGACGGGUAGCCGGCCUGAGAGGGUUACCGGGCACAUUGGGACUGAGAUACGGCCCAGACUCCUACGGGAGGCAGCAGUGGGGAAUAUUGCACAAUGGGCGGAAGCCUGAUGCAGCAACGCCGGGUGCGGGAUGACGGCCUUCGGGUGGUAAACCGCUGUCGACUGUGACGAAGCGUGAGUGACGGUAAUGGGUAAAGAAGCACCGGCUAACUACGUG
rnacentral:rRNA from 1 species